UAUAAAGCCCUAGAUGGAUUAAUGGAGGUCGUUCAGACUUCACCAGAAAUAGACCGCAUCCUCUGGGCAAUUGUGUCCUGGCCAGUGAAUAGCACAGGCUGCUGGAGCUGAGUUGGACCCCCUUCUGAUCCUGGAGGGAGCCCCACUCCACCUUCCUAUGAAGUCAGUUUCCUUCCUCUCAGGGUAGCUGCUGGCUCCGAUAACCUGCGUGUGCCUCCCUGGAACUCGCUGUAAGCUGGAUAUCAGUUUCACAUGUUUGGUCUGCGGGAUGUAGGAAGGAAGUGAACCUCCUGGAUAUCAGCCUGUCUAGUUUACCCAGAGGCCACCAAGCAAAGCCGGAGGAGCAGUGGGAGGCAUGCCAGGAAGUUGACAUUGAAGGGACUUUCCCAGGCUCCAGAGGCAACAAUCAGAUUUAAGAAGCUUUGGCUUAGAAAGGCCAUCCAGUAAGAAUGUGGCUGGACCAAGUUUCAAACCCACUUCUAUUGAAAAAGGUUGAAAACUAUUGCAUUAGCUGAUCUCUGCCUCUUAAAGUAAAUGUGAUAAAAUUAAUAAAUU
rnacentral:lncRNA from 1 species